GAGGGCACCACGGACACCCACCUCCCGCCCGGAUCCCGCCCCUGCCCUCCGCCCUCGACCCCGCCGGCCCGGCGCGGCGCGGCAGACGACCUGCCCUCACCUCUGGUCCCGGGCGCCCGGGCUGAGCUGCGGGAGGCGGAGUGCGCGAGGCGGCCGGGUGCUGCGGGACGGCGCGGCCGGCGAGGAGCCCGAAACUCUGCAGGGCGCGGGGCCGGGACGCCCGCAGCCUGGGCCGGCGCGGCUGGAGGAGCGACGGGCUGACAGCGGCAGCGGCGGCGGCGGCCACCGGGGAGGGCGGAGGGCGAGAGGCGGGGUGAGGAGCCGGAGGAGGGAGGGAGGAGUCGGGCGGGCCAAACUUCCCGAGGCGCGGGGUUGGCGGCGGGGGCGGCCGGGACGCAGGGGACGCGGCGCCGCGCGGGGAAAAGUUCCCCCGGCGCCGAUGGGGAGGCUGCGGCGGCGACGGCGGCGGCCGCACAGAGCAGAAGCCGGAGCGGGAGGAGCGGGAGGAGGAAGUGGCUGCGGCGCGCUCGGCCAAUGAGUGUCUGGAGCUGUGAUUAACCAGGCAGCAACACAUCAUUUCCUCCCGGCGCGGAUCCAGGGAGCCGGGAGGGAGCGGGAAGGCGGCGCGGCGGGGCGGGGCCGUCCCCGCGCCCCCUGCAGGCGCCCGGCCCUGAGGGAGCGGCCCAGCCCCCGAGCCGGCCGGGAGCAAGCCGCCGGGCCCUGCGCCCCGCGCCGUCUGUCUGGCAGGCUGGGGCCGCCGGCGCGGGUCUCCUCGGAGGCGACGGGCAGGCCUGAGCCGGGCUCCCGCGGCUGGGGUGGCAGGAGGAGAGGCCGCGCGGCGCGGGGAGAGCCCAGAUUACUCCAGACCCUGAGCCACCGAUAACUCUCCAAGACGAUACCUGCCAUAGAAUACAUGCUAAACAAUCAUCUAUUGAACAAAUGCGACUGGAAACCAAAUUAUCAAUUUUAGCAGAUACAUAACAGUUGCCUUAUAUUAGAUUCAGACACUGACAGGAAGUGAAGCCCUAGAAAGUGAAGCCCUUUCAAAGCCCUGCUGAUGACAGGGCCUGGAUCCCUGAGUUACUGGUUGGAGUGGAGUUACCUGGAGUUGCCUCCCGAGCAGGAACAUCCAUGUUGGACAUUUUAUAUUAAAAAAGCAAAGACAUGGGGGAAAUGCUGGUGAUCUACUACAUGAAGAAAAGCAGAGUCCUAAAAUAGCAAUAUAUUGCUGGGACUACAGGAAUGAGAUGCCAAGGAGGCUGACUUUUCUCUUAUAGAAUAUAAAUACCUCUCUAAUAAAGAAAUAUUGGUUUAAAUUAUGAGUUUCAGAUACAACCGAAUCCAUUUCUGCUUCCUAGGGCUAUUUUCAUCUGAAGUCCCGUUGCACUUGAUUGUAGCCAAAGUGACUGAAGCCUCUUUGGAAAUACAUGGGACAUAAAUGUACAAUAGGGGCUGGAGGUAUAGCUCAGUAGUAGAGCAUCAGCCUAGCAAGUGUGAGGCCCUGGAUUUGAUCCCCAGCACCAAAUAUAUGUCUGUAUAAUAAAGUAAAAAGAGCUCAAAAACAAAAAUCAGACAUGAUGGGGUCUCAAACUUAGGUUCUGCUACAUGAUGACUUAUCUUCCUCAGUUUUUGAUGUGGAAUAAUAGUAACAGCUGAGAUUUGUAGAACAUUCAGUAUGUACCAGACACUGUUUAAGUGCUUUACAUACAGUGGAAUUCUGCUAAAAAUCCUCUAAGGCAAAUUUUUUAUUUUUAAUGGUACAGGAGAUUGAACCCCAGGCCUUGUACAUACUAGGCAAGUGCUCUUCAAUUGAGCUAUACCUCCAGACCUUCUUAUUUUAUUUUGAAACAAGAUCUCAUUAAAUUACCCAGGCUAGCCUUGAACUUGCAAUCCUCCUGACUCUGGCUCCGCCUCCUGAGUAGCUGGGAUUACAGGUGUGCACCACCACUUCUGGGCUGAGAUGAAUUCUAUUAGUCUUAUUUUUUCAGAUGAUAAAAAUGAAACAGAGAGAAUGUCAAUCUUGCC
ensembl:lncRNA